UCCCAGGUAGCUGAGUGAUAAAGCAUCUGCCUGCCAAACAGGAAACUCAUGUUCAGUCCCUGGAUUGGGAA
rnacentral:tRNA from 1 species